rnacentral:rRNA from 1 species
UGGUACGGUCAUACCGGCACUACUACACCGGGUCCCAUCAGAACUCCGUAGUUAAGCGCACUUGGGCCAGAAUAGUACUGGGAUGGGUGACCU